AUUCUUCAUGCAUCCAUAGAGAAAAGGAAAAGUCUUCUUAACUCUCCGGAAGAAUUAAUCAGAGGAGCAUUUCUAACUUCUUUCCACCCACUCACUCACUCUCCUUCCACUGACCAUUGAAAAUGGGGGAAGAAAAAAGAAUUAUUGAUCAAAUUUGGAUCUCUGUGUGCUGUCCUCCAAUUUAAUACUUUCUGUGUUGCUGUUUUAUUUUCUUUCUUCUGGAACCUGGCAAAGUGCGUCAAGCGAUGAGGCUUCCUCUUUGAAGAUCACAGGUGAGAAGAUUAGGUGCUUUCUCAGAAGCCCAGCAACCUGAUGGGAGUGUGGAGUGAGCAAGACCCAAAUCGGAGCUUCAUCCCUGCAUGGUUCAUUUUGCUUAUUUGGCAAACUUGCCCUGCAGAAUCUACUCAAGCUUCCUCAGUUUCUCAAAUCAUUCUUGGGCAACAAAUGAACAAGAAAGAGGACGUCUUAUUAUCUGGUGUCUGGCUUGCUGAUUUAAUAACCUAGGAGACAGUGUUUGAAGAACACAAACUCUAAAGUCCUUCACUUAAAAAAAAAAAAAAACUUUCCCAAAUUGCUUACCAUUUGGAAAAAUUGCCUUACCUUCUUCAGUCAUCUCUGAUGUUGUCAUCCUCAGAGUAAGAAGUACGCAUUCAUAAGGAACCAUAACGUCCUUCAGGAAAUCCAGUACACCCUACAAUUUUACCUAAAACUUUGAUGUUGUUUUUUCUGAGCAUUUUACCUUCUAGGGAAAUGGAUCUCAUGCUGUUUAUCAGUUUCUGAAAGUUGUUAUUAAUCUCCCCUCAUCCCAAAAUUGAAGAACUUUGCUUAAAUCUUAGAAUCAGAACUUUGGCUCCAGUAAUAAAGACUUUUCAAUAUCUUUAUCUGCCAUUGAGUCUUACCUAACGAAAUAAAGCCUCCAAAGUGGGAAUUUGAAAUGUUUUAGAAUCUUUUUUUUUCCUUUUGACAUAGUGAUUGGUGGGAUGCUACAGGCAGUUAGUGGUUAGGGUCCAGAAAUGCCAGACAUCUUGCAGUGAGAGGGAUAGUCUGUACAAGGAAGAAUUCUCACAUGUUCUGACUAACACUGGAUAUUAUUACAGGUGAAAACAUUGGAAUCUUGUGAACCUCAACCUGUGUUUUACAUAUGUAUACAUGAAGCAUCCAAUGGCAUUACACCUCAGCCAGAGAAGAAGCUCUUAAGAGAUCAGGUGCCUCAUUUCACCCAUGGGCUGCUCCAGCAUUUCCAGCCUCCUCACUCCUGACACAUACAGGCACGUGCUCUCUGUGGAGUCUUUGCACUUCUCCUUUCCUUCCUGAAAUGCUCUUCCCCUGGGUGUCUUCAUCCUACCUCCCUCAACUCUUUCAUCUUGUUUAAAAAAUGUCAUUUUCUCAGUGAGAACUUCCUUGUCUUAUUCAGUUUGGGCUUCUCUAAUAAAAAUACUAUAGACUGAGUGGCUUAAACAGCAGAAAUUUAUUUCCCACAGUUCUAGAGGCUGAGAAGUCUGAGAUCAGGGUACCAGCCUGGUUGGAUUCUCAGUUUAGAGACAGCUAUCUUCUCAUUGUAUCUCACCUGGUGGAGAGCAGAGAGGGAGGAAGCAAGCUCUCUCACGUCUCUUCUUAUAAGGACACUAAUCCCAUUCAUGAUGGCUCCAUCCUCAUGACCAAAGGCCUUGCCUCCAAAUAUCAUCACACUGGGGAUUUGGCUUCAACAUUUGAUUUUGGGGGUGGGAAACAAAAAAUUUAGUCCAUAGCAUUCCCAAGUGAUUUGUUUAAAUUUUCUACUUAAUCUCUUCUGUGCUUAAAUGUAUCUCCUUAGUAUUGUCCUUUAUCUAUUGCCAAUGUAACUCAUCUAUGUAUCUCUCUAUUUAUCACCUGUGUAUGUAUGUAUGUAUGUACUGUGAAUGUGUGUGUAUGUAUGUAGGUAUGUAUGUAUCUACCUGUCUAGUUUAUCUAACUUGCUUCAGAAACAGGAAACUCUUUGAAGAGCAGUGUUUUUUUCUUUUUAGUUGUUCAUUUAUGUAUAACCAUGGCACUAGAAAGUAAGAAGGCAAAAAGAUUCUUUGCAUAUACAUUUAUUGAAGUACAUACUAAUUGAAUAAAAGUAUUUUAUAUCUACCACCUUGGCCACCUAUAUGUUUUAAGGUCUACAGAAGGAAUUAAAAAAAUAUACAGUGCAACAAAAUCAUGGCUUUGACUUCUUAUUUCUUCUUCAUGGUAUGAAGUAUGUGAGGGGAAAGCCAUGGCAAUUGUUAGUCUUGUAAAUGGGAAUUGUGGCAUUUGAGAUCAAGGUUUACUUAUUUAAACAUGCUUUCUACAAUAAAAAUUAUGUUUCCAGACUCUUAUAAUUGUAUUUUCUGAAAAGAAAAGAGAGUGAUAAUAAUUCCUGUGGUCUUAACUCUGUUCUUUCAUUAGGUUAAAAAUUUUCUUUAAAUGUCCUAAGAAAAAAUUGGAUUCAAUUUUGGACCUGAAUGAAUGUGGGAAGAACUACAAAUUUAGGUGCAAAAUUGACCAUUCCAAAUUAUAAAAGUCAAUAUUUAUAAAUCAAUCUGAAAACAAUUGCAGCAACAAUGUGUUUAAACAGAGCUAUCCUUGUCACAUAGUCAUUCUAGGUAAAAAGGGGUCUCUUCUUCAUUGAAAUCCAAACCACAAGAAUUCCAAGUUCCAAAUUCUUUCUUUUUUGUGUGUGGCUAAUACAGAUUGAAGAAGUCCAAGGAAUUCUGAAAAUGCUUUUCC
rnacentral:lncRNA from 1 species